ACGGAGGGGGCGAGCGUUGUCCGAAGUUACUGGGCGUAAAGGGCGCGUAGGCGGCCCUCUAAGUCAGACGUGAAAUCCCUCGGCUCAACCGGGGAACUGCGUCUGAGACUGGAGGGCUUGAAUCCGGGAGAGGGAUGUGGAAUUCCAGGUGUAGCGGUGAAAUGCGUAGAUAUCUGGAGGAACACCGGUGGCGAAGGCGGCAUCCUGGACCGGUAUUGACGCUGAGGCGCGAAAGCCAGGGGAGCAAACGGGA
rnacentral:rRNA from 1 species